ACUAUUCGAGCAUCACGAGAAGCUGAAAAAUUUGCCCGACCUUACAUCGCUUGGUUUUAUUUCCAGUUCUUCUUGUUCAACAUUGUCAACAUCGUAGAUAUCUUAGGACUAAAAAGUAAAACAAGUUUAGCUUUCGUCUUGUUUAUGGCACUGGAUAUAAUCAAUACUGGAUAUUUAACAUUGAAUCUGGUUGCUGUUAACAAAGUUUCAACUGAAGGAAUGGAGGAUUUGUACGAGAUUUCAUACGAUCUAAAGUCUUACAAUUUACAAAAUGAGAAUAACUUCUUUCUCAAUCGAAUGCUCUGGCGAAAUGUUGGUUCUAACUUUUCUUAUAGCCUUCGUCUUGUGGAUGGCACUGGAUAUAAUCAAUACAGGAUACUUUACUGUGAAACUGGUUGCUGUAAACGCAGUUUCCACUGAAGGCAUGGAGGAUUUGUACGAGAUUUCAUACGAUCUAAAGUCUUACAAUUUACAAAAUGAGAAUAACUUCUUUCUCAAUCGAAUGCUCUGGCGAAAUGUUGGUUCUAACUUUUCUUAUAGCCUUCGUCUUGUGGAUGGCACUGGAUAUAAUCAAUACAGGAUACUUUACUGUGAAACUGGUUGCUGUAAACGCAGUUUCCACUGAAGGCAUGGAGGAUUUAUAUGAGAUUUCAUACGAUCUAAAGUCUUACAAUCUUCAAAAUGAGAAUAACCUUUUUCUCAAUCGAAUGCUCUGGCAAAAUGUUGGAUUCACCGUUUCUAAUUUGUUUCUGAUUAAUCCCGAUUUCAUUACUUCGCUACUCAGCUUUUCCUUUACAAUUGCUCUCAUGAUUGCUAACUUUCUGUACAGUU